rnacentral:rRNA from 1 species
GACGAACGCUGGCGGCGUGCUUAACACAUGCAAGUCGAACGGAAAGGCCCUGCUUUUGUGGGGUGCUCGAGUGGCGAACGGGUGAGUAACACGUGAGUAACCUGCCCUUGACUUUGGGAUAACUUCAGGAAACUGGGGCUAAUACCGGAUAGGAGCUCCUGCUGCACGGUGGGGGUUGGAAAGUUUCGGCGGUUGGGGAUGGACUCGCGGCUUAUCAGCUUGUUGGUGGGGUAGUGGCUUACCAAGGCUUUGACGGGUAGCCGGCCUGGGAGGGUGACCGGCCACAUUGGGCCUGAGGUACGGCCCAGACUCCUACGGGAGGCAGCAGUGGGGAAUAUUGCCCAAUGGGCCGAAGCCUGAUGCAGCAACGCCGCGUGCGGGAUGACGGCCUUCGGGUUGUAAACCGCUUUCGCCUGUGACGAAGCGUGAGUGACGGUAAUGGGUAAAAAAGCACCGGCUAACUACGUG